rnacentral:misc_RNA from 1 species
GAUGAAGAACGUAGCGAAAUGCGAUAAGUAAUGCGAAUUGCAGAAUUUCCGUGAGUCAUCGAAUCUUUGAACGCACAUUGCGCCCACUGGUAUUCCGGUGGGCAUGCCUGUUCGAGCGUCAUUAUCCUCCCUCAAACCCCGGGUUUGGUGUUGGACCCAAGUUGUGUGAACAACUGGUCUUAAAGACAAUGACGGCGUCCGUGGGACCCUCGGUGCAACGAGCUUUUAGGAGCACGCAUCGAGUUGCAAGGACCUUCCGGGCCGGUCUCCUUUACUAUUUUACAACGUUGACCUCGGAUCAGGUAGGAAUACCCGCUGAACUUAAGCAUAUCAAUAAGCGGAGGA